rnacentral:rRNA from 1 species
GAUGAACGCUGGCGGCGUGCUUAACACAUGCAAGUCGAACGGAACUCCUAUGAUCGAGGUCUCGGCCAAAAGAAUAGGAUGUUUAGUGGCGGACGGGUGAGUAACGCGUGAGUAACCUGCCUUGGAGUGGGGAAUAACACAGUGAAAACUGGGCUAAUACCACAUAAUGAAUUUGGGUCGCAUGAUCCUGAAUGCCAAAGAUUUAUCGCUCUGAGAUGGACUCGCGUCUGAUUAGCUAGUUGGCGGGGUAACGGCCCACCAAGGCGACGAUCAGUAGCCGGACUGAGAGGUUGACCGGCCACAUUGGGACUGAGACACGGCCCAGACUCCUACGGGAGGCAGCAGUGGGGAAUAUUGGGCAAUGGGCGCAAGCCUGACCCAGCAACGCCGCGUGAAGGAAGAAGGCUUUCGGGUUGUAAACUUCUUUUGUCAGGGACGAAGCAAGUGACGGUACCUGACGAAUAAGCCACGGCUAACUACGUGCCAGCAGCCGCCGUAA